GUAACGCGUGAGUAACCUGCCUUUCAGAGGGGAUAACGUUCUGAAAAGAACGCUAAUACCGCAUGAGACUACAGAGCUGCAUGGCUCAGUGGUCAAAGGAGCAAUCCGCUGAAAGAUGGACUCGCGUCCGAUUAGAUAGUAGGCGGGGUAACGGCCCACCUAGUCGACGAUCGGUAGCCGGACUGAGAGGUUGAACGGCCACAUUUGGGGACUGAGACACGGCCCAGACUCCUACGGGGAGGCAGCAUG
rnacentral:rRNA from 1 species